rnacentral:rRNA from 1 species
AGUGGACGCUGGCGGUAGGCCUAACACAUGCAAGUCGAACGGCAGCACAGUAAGAGCUUGCUCUUACGGGUGGCGAGUGGCGGACGGGUGAGGAAUACAUCGGAAUCUACUUUUUCGUGGGGGAUAACGUAGGGAAACUUACGCUAAUACCGCAUACGACCUACGGGUGAAAGCAGGGGAUCUUCGGACCUUGCGCGAUUGAAUGAGCCGAUGUCGGAUUAGCUAGUUGGCGGGGUAAAGGCCCACCAAGGCGACGAUCCGUAGCUGGUCUGAGAGGAUGAUCAACCACACUGGAACUGAGACACGGUCCAGACUCCUACGGGAGGCAGCAGUGGGGAAUAUUGGACAAUGGGCGCAAGCCUGAUCCAGCCAUACCGCGUGGGUGAAGAAGGCCUUCGGGUUGUAAAGCCCUUUUGUUGGGAAAGAAAAGCAGCAGGUUAAUACCCCGCUGUUCUGACGGUACCCAAAGAAUAAGCACCGGCUAACUUCGUG